rnacentral:rRNA from 1 species
GCGGCGGACGGGUGAGUAAUGCCUAGGAAUUGCCUGGUAGUGGGGGACAACGUUUCGAAAGGAACGCUAAUACCGCAUACGUCCUACGGGAGAAAGCAGGGGACCUUGGCGGGCCUUGCGCUAUCAGAUGAGCCUAGGUCGGAUUAGCUAGUUGGUAGGUAAUGGCUCACCAAGGCGACAUCCGUACUGGUCUGAGAGGAUGAUCAGUCACACUUGGAACCUGAGUAGCACGGUCCGACUCCUACGGGAGGCAGCAGUGGGGAAUAUUGGACAAUGGGCGAAAGCCUGAUCCAGCCAUGCCCGCGUGUGUGAAGAAGGUCUUCGGAUUGUAAAGCACUUUAAGUUGGGAGGAAGGGUUGUAGAUUAAUACUUCUGCAAUUUUGACGUU